AAUAGAUGACGUCAUUGACUUUUUUUCACAUGUUUAACCAUUUGUCUUAUUCAAAAAAAUUUCAUAAUUAUAAUUUAUUUUAUGAUGAGUUGUUUUAUUACUCAUAGUACUUUAAGUGUGAUUUAUAUCUUAUACAUUUGCAUAAAAUUUUUGAAUAAGACGAAUGGUCAAACAUGUGAGAAAAAGUUAACGGCGUCAUCUAUU
rfam:Oryza sativa (indica cultivar-group) chromosome 5, whole genome shotgun sequence.